UAUCUCUGUAGAGUCUGCAUAUCAAUAAGCGGAGGAAAAGAAACUAACUAGGAUUCCCUCAGUAACGGCGAGUGAAGCGGGAAGAGCUCAAAUUUGAAAUCUUCAAGGUUUUACCUUGACGAAUUGUAGUUUAAAGAAGUGUUUUCUGUUGGAGUUUUGGUAAAAGUUCUUUGGAAUAGGACAUCAUAGAGGGUGAGAAUCCCGUAUUUGACCAUUAUUUCCAGCUUUGUGAUACACUUUCAAAGAGUCGGAUUGUUUGGGAAUGCAGUCCAAAAUGGGUGGUAAAUUUCAUCUAAAGCUAAAUACUGGCGAGAGACCGAUAGCGAACAAGUACCGUGAGGGAAAGAUGAAAAGAACUUUGAAAAGAGAGUUAAACAGUACGUGAAAUUGUCAAAAGGGAAGCGUUUGACACCAGUGUUGUUUUCUCGAAAAUCAAUUAAAAAUGGCGGGAUUUUGUGUUGUAUUGACUUUAUCAGCUUUCUGCACUCUUUUCCUGUCUUUUUUAAUGCACUUUUCGUUUAACAAGUCAACAUCAACUUCUUUUGUUGUAAAAGGUCAUUGGAAGGUGGCUUUCUUUUCGGAGAAAGUGUUUAUAGCCUUUGGCUUCUGCAAUCGGAGAGAUUGAGGUCUGCAGCGUAGAUCCUUCGGGUUAGAUACAUUUGUGCUAAGUUAUAGCCUUUCAUAGACAACUUGUUGACUAUGAUCAGUCAUGUAGCUUACUCGCUUAUGCUAUUUUACCUACGCUUAGGAUGUUGAGUCAUCACACAUCUCU
rnacentral:rRNA from 1 species